rnacentral:rRNA from 1 species
AUUGAACGCUGGCGGCAUGCCUUACACAUGCAAGUCGAACGGCAGCACGGGAGCAAUCCUGGUGGCGAGUGGCGAACGGGUGAGUAAUGUAUCGGAACGUGCCCAGUCGUGGGGGAUGACGUAGCGAAAGCUACGCUAAUACCGCAUACGAUCUAUGGAUGAAAGCGGGGGAUCGCAGGACCUCGCGCGAUUGGAGCGGCCGAUAUCAGAUUUGGUAGUUGGUGGGGUAAAGGCUCACCAAGCCGACGAUCUGUAGCUGGUCUGAGAGGACGACCAGCCACACUGGGACUGAGACACGGCCCAGACUCCUACGGGAGGCAGCAGUGGGGAAUUUUGGACAAUGGGCGCAAGCCUGAUCCAGCAAUGCCGCGUGCAGGAUGAAGGCCUUCGGGUUGUAAACUGCUUUUGUACGGAACGAAACGGCGAGCUCUAAUACAGUUUGCUAAUGACGGUACCGUAAGAAUAAGCACCGGCUAACUACGUGCCAGCCGCCGCGGUAA